UUUUAGCGGCGGACGGGUGAGUAACGUGUGGGUAACCUGCCUUUUACUGGGGAAUAAUCACUGGAAACGGUGACUAAUACCGCAUACGGUUCUUGGAAGGCAUCUUCUGAGAAAGAAAGGAUUUAUUCGGUAAAAGAUGGGCCCGCAUCUGAUUAGCUAGUUGGUGAGAUAACAGCCCACCAAGGCGACGAUCAGUAGCCGACCUGAGAGGGUGACCGGCCACAUUGGGACUGAGACACGGCCCAAACUCCUACGGGAGGCAGCAG
rnacentral:rRNA from 1 species